rnacentral:piRNA from 1 species
UAACUGUGCAGCUCCACAGGGCAUCAU